UACGUAGGGCGCAAGCGUUGUCCGGAAUUAUUGGGCGUAAAGAGCUCGUAGGCGGCCUGUUGCGUCCGCUGUGAAAUCCCGGGGCUCAACCCCGGGCCUGCAGUGGAUACGGGCUGGCUAGAGGCAGGCAGGGGAGAACGGAAUUCCUGGUGUAGCGGUGAAAUGCGCAGAUAUCAGGAGGAACACCGGUGGCGAAGGCGGUUCUCUGGGCCUGUACUGACACUGAGGAGCGAAAGCGUGGGGAGCGAACAGG
rnacentral:rRNA from 1 species